UAUAAUAGUAGGUAAUAGGUAAACAAUCAGUGGGGGACUGUAGGAGCCCAGCUGAAGUGCAAAAAUACCUAAAAACAUCUGGGGGGACCUUCAAUCCACUUUUAACAGUGAUUUAAAAGUUU